AAGGAGUCUAACAUAUCUGCGAGUAUUUGGGUGUCCAAACCGUGUGCGCAAUGAAAGUGAACGUAGGAGCCACGCGCACGCUGCAGCUUCGACCGAUCUGGAUCUUUAGUGAUGGAUUUGAGUAAGAGCAUAUAUGUUGGGACCCGAAAGAUGGUGAACUAUGCCUGAAUAGGUCGAAGCCAGAGGAAACUCUGGUGGAGGCUCGUAGCGAUUCUGACGUGCAAAUCGAUCGUCAAAUUUGGGUAUAGGGGCGGAAGACUAAUCGAACCAUCUAGUAGCUGGUUCCUG
rnacentral:misc_RNA from 1 species